GAUGAACGCUGGCGGCGUGCCUAACACAUGCAAGUCGAACGGAGUCGUUUUGGAAAUCUCUUCGGAGAUGGAAUUCUCGACUUAGUGGCGGACGGGUGAGUAACGCGUGAGCAAUCUGCCUUUAAGAGGGGGAUAACAGUCGGAAACGGCUGCUAAUACCGCAUAAAGCAUUAAAUUCGCAUGUUUUUGAUGCCAAAGGAGCAAUCCGCUUUUAGAUGAGCUCGCGUCUGAUUAGCUAGUUGGCGGGGUAACGGCCCACCAAGGCGACGAUCAGUAGCCGGACUGAGAGGUUGAACGGCCACAUUGGGACUGAGACACGGCCCAGACUCCUACGGGAGGCAGCAGUGGGGAAUAUUGCGCAAUGGGGGAAACCCUGACGCAGCAACGCCGCGUGAUUGAAGAAGGCCUUCGGGUUGUAAAGAUCUUUAAUCAGGGACGAAACAAAUGACGGUACCUGAAGAAUAAGCUCCGGCUAACUACGUG
rnacentral:rRNA from 2 species